rnacentral:rRNA from 1 species
UACGGGGGGUGCAAGCGUUGUCCGGAAUCACUGGGCGUAAAGGGCGCGUAGGUGGUGUCGUAAGUCUGUGGUGAAAGCCCGGGGCUCAACCCCGGGUCUGCCGCGGAGACUGCGAGACUCGAGUACUGUAGGGGCUGGUAGAAUGCCGGGUGUAGCGGAUGGAAUGCGUAGAGAUCCGGCAGAAGACCGGUGGCGAAGGCGGCCAGCUGGGCAGUGACUGACACUGAGGCGCGACAGCGUGGGGAGCAAACAGGAUU